rnacentral:rRNA from 1 species
AUUGAACGCUGGCGGCAUGCUUUACACAUGCAAGUCGAACGGCAGCGCGGGCUUCGGCCUGGCGGCGAGUGGCGAACGGGUGAGUAAUGCAUCGGAACGUGCCCAGUAGUGGGGGAUAGCCCGGCGAAAGCCGGAUUAAUACCGCAUACGACCUGAGGGUGAAAGCGGGGACCCAAAGGACUCGGGGUAAUGGUGUGGCCGGAGGGGGGUUUGGUUGGUGGUGGGGGUAAGUGCUUGCCAAGCCGACGAUCCGUGGCUGGUCUGUGAGGACGACCAGCCACACUGGAACUGAGACACGGCCCAGACUCCUACGGGAGGCAGCAGUGGGGAAUGUUGGACAAUGGGGGCAACCCUGAUCCAGCCAUGCCGCGUGCGGGAAGAAGGCCUUCGGGUUGGAAACCGCUUUUGUUCGGGAAGAAAUCCUCUGGGCUAAUACCCCGGGGGGAUGACGGUACCGGAAGAAUAAGCACCGGCUAACUACGUG